CUUCCGAAGUGGGCCUGAGCCCAGUCCUGAGCGAGGCAGCUGGUGGGGUAGAGCACUGAUUGGGAAACAAGGAUUCGAAAGAGUCCACUUUCCUUUCAAACUACGAAUCCACCCGCACUGUAGACCUCGGGAAGCGGGUUAGUGGGGGUAAGCUCCACGACCGAGAGGGGGACAACCCAGACUGAGGUUAAAGUCCCCAAGUGCUGGCUAAAUGUCAAACCAAAGGGCGUCGUCAGCCUCAGACAGCGGGGAGGUAGGCUUAGAAGCAGCCAUCCUUCAAAGAUAGCGUAACAGCUCACCCGCCGAGGCUGACGGCCCCGAAAAUUGACGGGGCUAAGCCAGCCACUGAUACCUCAGAGCGCAUCUCAAGAUGCGUUGGUAGGAAGGCGUCCUAGUUGGACAGAAGCUGGGCUGUGAGGUCCAGUGGACCGAUUAGGAUUGCAAAUCCCGGUGGUAGUAACAGCAAAGAAAAGUGAGAAUCUUUUCCGCCGAAGGGGCAAGGGUUCCCCGGCAACGAUCGUCAGCCGGGGGUAAGUCGAUCCUAAGGCAUAACUUAACCGAUUAUGCCGAAAAAGGGAAUCCGGCUAAAAUUCCGGAACCAUGCAGGUACGCGCGGUAACGCAAGCUUAGUGUUGACGUUUCGGGGUAAGCUGAGCAAGGUCUUCGCCUUGUUUAACCGUAUACAUCCGGGGAGUGCCGUAAUGGCGAGAACCGGACGAAAAUGGGAAUAGCCACUCGUUUUAGAGCGGUUCAGCUCAUCCCUGGAGCCACUGAAAAGCGCACUAAGAAGGAUCCUGUAUGAUCGUACCUAGAACCGACACAGGUGUCCCUAGGCGAGAAACCUAAGGCGUGUCGGGUAUACACUAAUGCGAGGGAACUCGGCAAAUUAGCCCCGUACCUUUGGUAUAAGGGGUGCCUGUUCUUCUAGCCUUGUGUUAGGAGAGCAGGUCGCAGUGACAAAGGGGUCUCGACUGUUUAAUAAAAACACAGGAAGCCGCAAGAGCGAAAGCUUGUGAACGGCUUCUGAAUCCUGGCCAGUACAGGUACCUGAAACCUGGGUCCAACUGGGCUAAGGGCCUGCAAACGCCGGGAGUAACUCUGACUCUCUCAAGGUAGCCAAAUGCCUUGUCGGGUAAGUUCCGACGUGCAUGAAUGGAUCAACGAGGGCCCCACUGUCCCCGCGUAGUACCCGGUGAAACCACAUAACGUGGACGAACAGUCCACGAUCUCCCAGCGGGAAAAGAAGUCCCUGUGGAGUUUUACUGCAGCCUGCCGCUGGAAUACGGUUGUGGAUACAGAGUGUAGUCGGGAGCUUUCGAUCCUGUGUUCUCUGGGACACGGGGGAGGCAACAAUGGAACACCGACUUUCUGUAACCGUGUUUCUCACCGGCCCCUUGCGGGCUGGAACAACGGUAGGUGGGCAGUUCGGCUGGGGCGGCACGCCCUUGAAAAGAUAUCAAGGGCGCCCUAAGGUUGGCUCAGGGGGGACAGAAACCCUCCGUAGAGUGCAAGGGCAAAAGCCAGCCUGACUGUAUCCCAAACAGUAAGGGAUGCAGAGGAGAAAUCCGGGCUUAGCGAUCAUCCAUGCUCCCCUUUGGUGGGGGCUGGAUGUGUCAGAAAAAUUACCCUAGGGAUAACAGGCUCGUCGCGGGCGAGAGUCCCCAUCGACCCCGCGGCUUGGUACCUCGAUGUCGGCUCUUCCUAUCCUGGUCCUGCAUAAGGGACCAAGGGUGAGGCUGCUCGCCUAUUAAAAGGGAACGUGAGCUGGGUUUAGACCGUCGUGAGACAGGUCGGACUUUAUCUGCUGGGAGUGUAGGCUGCCUGAGGGGAAAGGGUCCCUAGUACGAGAGGAACGGGACGCUGUAGCCUCUAGUUAACCGGUUGUCUGAUAAGGCAGUCGCCGGGCAGCCACGCUGUUGUGGAUAAGAGCUGAAAGCAUCUAAGCUCGAAGCCUCUCCCGAAAAGAGGCAGCCAUUCCAGUUUCACUGGACGAAGGCUCCCAUAAAAGAUGGGUUUGAUGGAGCCGGGGUGUAAAUCAGAAGACUUCGGUCGACUGGUUCAGCCUGCGGCCACCAAUAGCCUGAGAUGUCGAGUCA
rnacentral:rRNA from 1 species